CCCGCCCACUGCCGGCUGCUGACGGCCCCGCUUCGUUUCAACGGCCGCAGCCAAUCAUGGCUGUGAGGUGAUGCGAAUAUUCAUGAGGGCUGAGGAGGGGCGUUUGGAUGUUGGCGGCUGAGGAGCCUCAUUAAGGUGAAAAGCAGCAGCAGCAGUACUCCCAGCCUGCAUUCUGCCAGCGCUGCCAGAUGGACUCCACUCUAUGCCUCAGCCUCUCCUCACCCUAAACCUCAGCACUGUGAUUUCAGAGGAGAAAGACAACGUUGAAGGUGCACCUUGUUCAGUAAGAAAGAGGAAGGCAUAGAUAGGUGAAGAGAAAGCAGGAGGAGAAAGAGUGGAGGAAAGAGGCUGCUAAACAUGAGAGGAUGAUUUGACCUCCAGAGGGGACAUAUGACAUGUCAAAGUGAGAGGUUAAAGAAAAGGAAUGACAACAAGUCCCCCCAGGCAGGUAAGAACCCUCCAAGCCUGACACAUUUCCUGGUACUCUGACAUCUGCAUUGACUGUGGAUAUCUAGUACAUCCCUAAGAAUGAAUCUUGUAUUAAAUCAGUAAAUUAGAUAAGCUAGAGACCAUUGAGAUUCUGCAGUCAUUCUCAAAGUAUCACUCUAAGAACCCUGAACAUUUGGCAUCACAGCAAAGGUAAUCACAUCUAUUUUAGGCACCCAAUUUUCAAAGUCAGAGUAGAGCCUCCAGAAGUAUCCUGAGUAGCACAUGCAGAAAGGGAAACACCUUCAAGAAAACCACAGAGGACAACAGGCUAAAGAUGUUUGAAGUCUCCAUGUUAACAUGGCCAAUGAUAGUUCCUUCAGCAGAAUGAAAAUGUCAUUCCCUCUUCUUUUAUAACCUUCAUGUUUGUUCAAGGAGUGAUUUGCAGAGCUGAAGUUUGUGACUGCUCCUAAAAGAUCUGCAGGAGUUACUUAAGAAAAGCAAGCCUUUUGGCCAUAAACUUAAAUUUGUUAUAAGUAUAUAGGCAUCUGUAACAUCACAGGGAAAUUGUGAUGGUUCUGCAAAUUGAAAAAAGGGUGGACAACGGGGCUUUAAGUAAACGUCAAUCCCCCUAACAGACACGAGCAAAUUCUAUACAAUAUAGCAGAGCACUGCACUCAGCACUUUUGAGACCACCCCCCAACCAGCUGCACCCCUAGAAAUGCUGGGCACCUGUUCGUUCUGCAGACGAAGUGUCAGGUUGGCCUCUGCUCCCUUCAAGUGCUCCAGGCAAUUUUUAAGUUGUUUCUUUUGCUCUUCCUGAUCAGAAUUCCCAGGUUUUCACAGAUAGAGUUGUAAAGGAAACAUCAAAGAAAGAAGGUGUCAGGUAAGGAUGUGAAGCAGAGCAUCAAACUAUAGAAUAGAAACUUUAUAUUGUAAAGUUUGUUUCAGGGCAUUCUGACUAUAUUGCAUCUUUUCUUUUUAUAUUUUUAUUAUUAUUAAAUGCCAAAUCUACAGUAGUAAAGAUGAGAAAGGGACAAAACAUAAGCAUACAGGAAACCAGCAAAGUUGCUGCCUCCCACCAGUUACUCGUCAGCUUCCUGUUAGAGCUAAAAUUAACUGCAGAUAGUCCAGGCAGACUGAGGAUAAUUGUUUUAUUUAUACAAGUCUCCAUCCUGAAACAGUUUUGCUUAGCUGUAACAAUUUGCAAUCAGCUAAGUAUCAAUUCUGAAUUCCCACCUACCUGCUUCAUCAAAAAAGAUGAAGACUUUUCUUGCUACAGAGAAUCAGAAUUAUGAAGUCUACUUAGACAGGCAUCUCUUCCAAAACUGAAGAGUAUGUGUGUACUAUACGAAUCUGCAAGAUGGUGUGUUCACAGAACUACCUAUUUGGACACCCAUACCACUAUAGAGAUUUCUCUUUCUGUCAUGAAAUCCCCUAGACUUUUCCUAAGACUGAACAGUAUUUUUACCUAGUCACUGCAAAGGACACCACUCAGCUUCUUCCCUGGCUUCCCCAAGUAUCAUGAUAUUCAGGGAAGGUUUUACCUCCUGAGUUAUAGUCAUGCAUAACUGGUUAUUCUCCUCCUUUAAACUUUCACACUGCUUAGUCUUGUCACGGUUCGAAUGAACCAGGUCUUCAAUUUCCUUCUCAUAACUCAGAAGUUGAGACUAGGGAGAAAGAAGAGUGGGCAGCAAGUGAAUACAAAUAGUUAUGACUGAGAAGCACAGGCUCCUUUUGCUGCAUGAAGCAAAUCUCCAGAACCUGUGGCUGACCGGAGACGGUCCAUAAAAGCAAAGGAGGGAAGCUAUGUGUUUUGUACCUGCAGCUGAUCGACAUGAUCCAGGGCUGUUUUCAGUUUGGUUUCCAGACGUUCCUUUUCAGAGGUUACAUUCUGAAUUUGCUCUUUGAAUCUAUUCAAAGCAAGACAAAACACACCACACUUUCAUAAAUGGAAAUUAAAUCCACAACAGCAAGCUGUUUGCUUACAUGGAAUCCUGUUUUAAUUGGUCCUGUAGAUACACUUACUGGUGCAGUUCUGCCUCUCUGCACUCAUUCAGCUCCUUCAGGUGCUUAUUUUCCUUUUUCAGGGAACUCAGCUCCAGCUCCAACUUUUCCGUGCUGCUCCUAAGGGACUCCAAAACAUUUUGUAGCUCCUGAAAAUCAAAAUGAGGUCAAAUAGGAAGAAGAACUGGGCUCAGGCCAUAGUCCUCCUCUGCACUGGAACUGCAAAAUGCAAUGCUUCCAGGCAGCCCAUCUGAAGGGGGAAAAUCUCUCCUUUGUAUCCUUCAGAUAACUGAACCUGUUUCACUUACGUUAAGCCCUGAGCAAAACUGAAAGAGAAAAGAGGAAUGUUAGGAAGAGGGCUGGGCUUGCAAUUUCAGGAGAGCUUACCAAACAUUUUUGAAAGCUCUUCUUCCCAUAUAUUCCUGAACCCCAUGUCUGAUGAUGCCUCUCAUUCAUCAUUGUUAUUAUUGUGGUGGAGGUGUUGUACCCCUUGUUAAAUGAUUAAACAGUUAAUAUGGGAAGAAAAGGCUUUAAUUUUCUUCUGGAAGCAUACAACAGAGCAUAAUCUGACUCAGUCUUUUUACCUUAUCUUUCAGAAUUAAAGCUUCUGACUUCAUAUAUGAA